GCAGGGGUAGCCAAGUGGUCAAAUCUUGACCAAAGGCGCAGGACUUAAGAUCCUGUGGCUUAGUGCCUUCCUGGGUUCGAAUCCCAGCCCCUGCA
rnacentral:tRNA from 1 species